rnacentral:rRNA from 1 species
GGAGGGUGCGAGCGUUGUUCGGAAUUACUGGGCGUAAAGAGCACGUAGGCGGGUCAGUAAGCCAGUUGUGAAAGCCCCGAGCUCAACUCGGGAAUUGCAAUUGGAACUGCAGAUCUUGAAUAUCUGAGAGGGUGGGAGAAUUCCUGGUGUAGAAGUGAAAUUCGUAGAUAUCAGGAGGAAUACCUGAGGCGUAGGCGCCUGCCUGGCAGAAUAUUGACGCUGAGGUGCGAAAGCGUGGGGGGAGCAAACAGGAUUAGAUACCCUGGUAGUCCACGCUGUAAACGAUGGAUACUAGGUGCUCGGAGCGUUAACCCUUUGAGUACCGCAGCUAACGCAUUAAGUAUCCCCGCCUGGGAGUACGGUCGCAAGGCUG